rnacentral:lncRNA from 1 species
GAGAGAGAGAGAGAAAAAUGGAGCCAAGAGAACCCCGAUGGCAACGGCAACCAGACCACAAACCCCACAAAACCCAACAGAUUUUCUCUGGCGCCCGGCACGGGCGGACGGACAGACAGAGGGAUGGCGGGACAGAGAGCAGGGAGAGCCACCGGCCUCGAAGCGCUGCCGACGCUUCUUGAACUUGUACAAAUCGUUCACUCCGACAGCGAGAGCCCCGGCCCCGUUUGCUUGCUUGCACCUCCAUCCCCACGCCCCCAAACCCACAGACCAAACCCCACAGCCCCAGCUUGGCCCCCCCAGUCAGGGGCUGCCCCCCACGGCAUCAUCAGGACACCCCAGCCUUGGGAUGAGAAUUCCUGGGAUCCCACAUCCCGCUCUGGACAACCAGGGGGUUGCAGGAGCUGCCCUUGGGUGGGCACCUCCCGUGGAUUUGGGGUGGUCUGGAGGAGGGGAGCCCUUUGGGAAGGGGAGAACCUCACCUGGGAGGUCACCCCAUGGAUUUGGGGUGGUCUGGAGGACCAGGGGUCCCUUCAGGAAGGAAUGGAAGUCCUCGGGGUGGGAAACCUCACCUGGGAGGUGCAGGAAGAAUUUUACCACCUCUUCCACGGGUCUGGAGGUGUCACCUCCCCUGAACCCUGCCAGCACCUGGCACUGGGUCACCUGUGGGGAGUGAGGUGAGCACAGGGGGCCCAGCUCAGGUGGGAGCCAGGGAUGGGCGUUGGGGACACCGUGGAUGUCACCAGGCUCCCAUGUCAGGAGCGCUGCUGGCACUGGGAGGCAGCAGGACACGGAGCCUUUGAGGUUUCCUCUGCUGGGUACAGCCGUUUUUGGGGUGUUUUUCCUCCAUUCCCACCCCUUGGGGUGGGGGACCCGGGCCUGGAGCCCCCAGGGCAGCUCUGAGCUGGGGUUGGGGGAUGAAUCCUGGGGUGCCAAGGCUGUCAGCGAGGUCCCCACAACUGAGUCAUUCCUGCAAAUAAAACCAGCCAGAUGUGAUCUCGAGUACA